GUGGGGAAUUUUGGACAAUGGGCGAAAGCCUGAUCCAGCCAUGCCGCGUGCAGGAUGAAGGCCUUCGGGUUGUAAACUGCUUUUGUACGGAACGAAACGGUCCGGGUUAAUACCCUGGGCUAAUGACGGUACCGUAAGAAUAAGCACCGGCUAACUACGUGCCAGCAGCCGCGGUAAUACGUAGGGUGCAAGCGUUAAUCGGAAUUACUGGGCGUAAAGCGUGCGCAGGCGGUUUUGUAAGACAGGCGUGAAAUCCCCGGGCUCAACCUGGGAAUUGCGCUUGUGACUGCAAGGCUGGAGUGCGGCAGAGGGGGAUGGAAUUCCGCGUGUAGCAGUGAAAUGCGUAGAUAUGCGGAGGAACACCGAUGGCGAAGGCAAUCCCCUGGGCCUGCACUGACGCUCAUGCACGAAAGCGUGGGGAGCAAACAGGAUUAGAAACCCGAGUAGUCC
rnacentral:rRNA from 1 species